rnacentral:lncRNA from 1 species
UCCAGUGUGCGGUGAGCUGAAAUACUUGCCUUUUGAUGGAUGAUGGUCUAUAUGAAAGAUAAAGUGUUUUGCAUGUCAGUGUUUAUGUGGAAGACUCCAGGCUAUUCCAAAGCCAUUAACUUAGGAACUAUUAGCUGUUGAUAGCUGCUGGGGAGGGAGAAUCAUUCUUCCUGGAUUGUGUGGCUGCUGAUAGGUUCCCCAUGCUCUAACGUAAGGCCCUGUACCCAGGCACUUGUAGAUAACAUUAAUUGGACUUAGUGGAUUAUCAAAAGACAGAGAAAAAGCCGAGGUCAAAGCUGGGCAUGUUGGAGAAGAUUUGGAGGGGGAGUUGGAGGUGGGAAAUUGGGGGAAUAGAUAGAUCACCUCAUCUUUCAUUAUAUACAUUUAUGAGAGUCUCAAGAAUAAAGAAAAAAUAAUGUGUAUAUAUUUUAAAAGUUUGACAAAGUGUAGGCAAAGAUGUAAGGACCAUUCAUUUGUCUCUCGUGUUCAGCCUUCUUUUCUUAAAAAGCACAGUACUAAAACAUUGAUGUGGAACAUUGGAAGCUUUAAUUAAUAUGUGCGAUUUCUAUGGCAAGCGAGAAGAAGGAAGAAACAUCAGUCUGCCCGCUGGAAGUGUGAGGAGAAGGGCACUGGUGGAAACUUCUGUUCUUGUAGCAGAAGUCCAGUUCUUAGGAUUUGAGAAACCAGUCACCUUGAUUUAAAUAGAAAGCCAGGACUGAGUUCUGCUCUUCCAAUAGCUCGACAUUACAUACUUUCUGGAGUAGAGUCACCCCCAGUGAGCACGUUAAAAGUUGUGUGUCAAAGUGCUGCAAUUUGAAAUGCCAGAGAAGAAGUGAGUGAAACCUUUUCAAGGGCAAGGGAUACAAGCGAGAUUCCAAAAUGGAGGAUCAGAACCUUUGAGCAUCCUAAUUAGCUGUGCGUCAGGGUCAUACACAUGUGGUCUUGUUGAGAAGUCAGAACUUUUGAGAUGCAAACAAGUAAACAAAAAAAAAAGUAAGACUUUAAAUAUUUGCAUAAAAACUAUAGACACCGAGUCAAGUUGUACAAAGCAGACAGCAAGGAAUCAGAACUAAAGAACAGGGUGACCAUGCUGUCUUCUCCAUCAUUGUCAGUGGGACCUGGGCCCUAAGAUCAGAUGGAAGUGAAACAGGUGUGUUUUCUACUGUGGAUGGUUUACCUCCUGAUGAGAGUCUAUGGACACCAGCUUUGUUUCAGCAUUACAUCACGCUCUCCAAGGGCAGCUCUGCCCUCUGGACAUCCAAACCCAGCGGCAGUUUGCAUACUUAAAGAUUAUACUUUGUUAACUAACACUUAUGUGUACAAGUAGACUGUAAGC